rfam:Triticum urartu cultivar G1812 contig124356, whole genome shotgun sequence.
UCAUUACUCCCUCCGUUCGGAAUUACUUGUCUCGAAAAUGGAUGUAUCUAGAACUAAAAUAUGUCUAGAUACAUCCAUUUCUGCGACAAGUAAUUCCGAACGGAGGGAGUAGUUU